rnacentral:rRNA from 1 species
GACGUAGGGUCCAAGCGUUGUCCGGAUUUACUGGGCGUAAAGAGCGCGUAGGCGGCUUGUUAAGUGUGAAGUGAAAUCUCCAGGGCUCAACCCGGAAACUGCUUUACAUACUGGCAAGCUGGAGUGAUGCAGAGGUUUGUGGAAUUCCUGGUGUAACGGUGAAAUGUGUUGAUAUCAGGAGGAACACCCAUGGCGAAGGCAGCAAACUGGGCAUCAACUGGCGCUGAGGCGCGAAAGCGUGGGUAGCAAACAGG